GGUAUAGCUCAGUUGGUAGAGCAUGAGACUCUUCAUUUCAUGGUCAUGGGUUCGAGCCCCACUUGGAGUG